CAACAAAACCUGAAUGAUUGGGAAAUCCAACAAAACCAUCGCUGCUUAGCACGGCGUAGAGCAAUCCAGUCACAAACCCUAUAAACCCUACUCUCCCAACCACUCCAGCCUCCAGGCAGAACACGGCGGCGGAGCAGAAUCCGGCGAAGCCCGUGGCGGAGACGAAGAGCGCGAUGCGGAGGGAGACGCGAGAAGAUCCGCAGAAGGCGUCUUUUUCAACGUCACAACAACCUUCCUCUGACAAGAAACCCGAAGAUGCUGAGAUCAAGCCUCAGGAUUCGGAUCAUGGUGUUUCUCCAAAGUAUCCGGUUUUGUAUCCGGGUCUUGUUCCCGGGUGGAAUCCUGGGCAGUAUGAUGAACAGACGAACCGUGGAGCUGGUGUUUAUGCGGUUCCUGUACAUGUGGCUGGUCUUCCUUUAAACUAUCUCAUUCCUCUCACUUACAAUGUUCCCACGUUCAAAUCACUGGUGGUGUUGCUUUUGAGAUGACUUUGUGGUAGAAAGCUGUAGGCUUGAUGAUGAAUCUUCUUUUGGGUUGAUGGUUUUUAUCUUCUUUUGGGUUGAUGGUUUCGGACUAGACCAAGCAAUGAGACUGAGGCUGAGGGAGAGAACCAAGCGCAAGGUGGGCAAGUUCAGUAGCAGCAGCAACAACCUGCAGGUCAAAGGCAAGUGGUGGUAUGGAGAUUUGAGAUUGUGUUUCAGCUUGACAUAUUGCUAAUACUCAAGCUUGCUGCUGUUAUCUAUUUGUUCAACCAAGAUGGAUCAAGACAACGGCUAGUUGUUCUUGUGAUUUUUUGCCACCAUUAUCUACUUAUACCAAACUGGAGCCCUUGCAUCUUUUAUCCGAUGGCUUUCGCAAGGUAUGCAUAGAGCAGCGGUACCAUCACCACGAGCUCAUCGACCUGCUGGGAGAGGUGAUAAUGAUCCAGCAGCUGCAAUUUCACUAAACCAAGAUGCUGUUCCCGGUGAGGAAGGACAAGAGUAUGUUCCCGAUUAAUCCUGCCAAAACCUGACCUCGUUCUUGCUG